rnacentral:misc_RNA from 1 species
AAGCUUUAAUGGGCUUCCAUCAACAGCCAACCCAGAUGGGUCUACACUCUCUUGCUGGUUGUUAAAGGCAUGCUAAUCUUGGUGCAGAAUGGACUGUGUUGAUACACGAAGAAAAGAAAUCAUAUUCCCCAACCACAGUUAGCUACUCUACUUAUCUAGGUUCCCUUGGCUGCAAAUAAGGAAGAGCCUACUGCACAUCUAGUGAAAUAUCCAUGAUUAUGAUAUAUUAUUCAUGGGCAAAUUUAUAUCUAACAAAGGAUGCUAAAACAAAAAAUGUCAGUCCCAGUAAGGUAUUUA